rnacentral:rRNA from 1 species
UCCGAAGGGGGCUAGCGUUGUUCGGAAUUACUGGGCGUAAAGCGUGCGCAGGCGGCUGCUCAAGUCAGGGGUGAAAGCCCAGAGCUCAACUCUGGAAUUGCCUUUGAGACUGAGUGGCUUGAGUACGGGAGAGGUGAGUGGAAUUCCCAGUGUAGAGGUGAAAUUCGUAGAUAUUGGGAAGAACACCGGUGGCGAAGGCGGCUCACUGGCCCGUAACUGACGCUCAUGCACGACAGCGUGGGGAGCAAACAGG